UACGUAGGGUGCGAGCGUUGUCCGGAAUUAUUGGGCGUAAAGGGCUCGUAGGCGGUCUGUUGCGUCGGGAGUGAAAACUCAGGGCUUAACCCUGAGCCUGCUUCCGAUACGGGCAGACUAGAGGUAUGCAGGGGAGAACGGAAUUCCUGGUGUAGCGGUGAAAUGCGCAGAUAUCAGGAGGAACACCGGUGGCGAAGGCGGUUCUCUGGGCAUUACCUGACGCUGAGGCGCGAAAGCGUGGGGAGCAAACGGG
rnacentral:rRNA from 1 species